rnacentral:rRNA from 1 species
UACGGGGGGGGCAAGCGUUGUUCGGAAUUACUGGGCGUAAAGGGCGCGUAGGCGGCCUUCUAAGUCGGACGUGAAAUCCCUCGGCUUAACCGAGGAACUGCGUCCGAUACUGAAAGGCUUGAAUCCGGGAGAGGGAUGUGGAAUUCCAGGUGUAGCGGUGAAAUGCGUAGAUAUCUGGAGGAACACCGGUGGCGAAGGCGGCAUCCUGGACCGGCAUUGACGCUGAGGCGCGAAAGCUAGGGGAGCGAACGGG